CUGUGUACAUGAGAAUGGUCAUUUGCUGAGCGUGAUGUUGUGUGGGACAAAGGUCGGUAGAAAGAAAAGAAAAAAUGGUAGUGUAUGAGGUGGGAUGGAGCAGAAACUAGUUGUUAUGGUGAAGGUGGUGACGUCAGCAAUUCGCUCGUUGUUUGUUUGGGCUGCUAUUUUUUUUUCCCCAGCUCAAAUAACAAUGGUGUAUUUUAUAGUUAGAAAACCAUAACUGGGCACAGGAAAGGCAGUGUUCAGUAGAUAAUACUCUGAAGCAUAUUCACAUGAAAGUCAAAAAUACAAUAGUGCUUCGCAGGCGCUCUGGUCCUGUUAUUGUUUCUUGCUCGUGGUUUUGAGAGUUGCCUGCUGUUAAGUGGAAAGAUUGACAUACUGCACCAAUAAUGUCUCGAAAUGAAAUAGUAACCUGGCAGUGCUUCUUUGCCACACAAGCAAUCUUUGCAUCAUGCGCUGAGAUCCCUCCACAAUCUGUGAAAAAUACGAAUUAUUAAGAUCAGUGGCGGCGCGAGUGUACAGGUAACAGGGAGUGGGAGGAGAGUGAGGAGGUGUCUGUGGGAGGUUGGUAGUGGGUGCGUCAUUCGCCGGCAGCUGUUUGAGACUUAUGCAAGUGGUGUGGGAUCAAAGGAUAAGACAGGAGUGCUUUGGCCAACUCAGGAAGUCUCUGCGAAGUUGUGAAGUGUUCAUGCAGUACUGGGGUGAGUGGAGCUCGAUGAGGCUCUGCACUUGCCGCCAGGGGUGAUUACCAAGCGUCUGGCAGCGGGGAGGAGGCAGCACCAGUCUCCGCAAUCCUGAUGUGCAUCCUGCCCUGCACACUCCCCUCCAUCAACAAGCACUCAGGAAAAAGGAGAGCGAGGCAGGGAAGGGAAGGAAAUGUUGAGAGAGAACACAUUAGAUACGAGAGAAGUUGCAUCCGGCAUUAACUGGACUGGCAAUCUAGGCGGCUGCGAGGGAGAUGAAGGUAGUUGGUGCUGAUUUACCCGUUUAUAACUGAACUUUUAACUUUUCGCUACUUUUAAAUGUAAACAGGAACUCGUGUUAGGAAACUAAGAUCAAAACAAAAUGUGUGAUUAACUAAGAGCUUCUUGGCGAGUUGUAAGGAAUGGAAGCUGUUAUCGAUACUCUGAAAGCCUCCGCCUUGCGCCUGACGGAAGAUGGACUGAGGAGACUGUCUAACAUGAAAGCGUAACACAUUCCUUAGCUCUGUCCUAGAACUAGGAUCUUUUACGCGAAAUGAAGUAGAUUAAUUGCAGUAUCUUCAGCCAGUU